rnacentral:piRNA from 1 species
UUCUCUUUCAGUGACUUGCAGUACC